AUUUUCACAUGCCCGAAGCCGAUUCUCGGACUCGACAGUUUGCUGCCAUGGCCUUCCUAGCUUUGAGGAGUCUGCCUACAUUCAGAAGACAAUGCGACAUCCUGAGGAAGCCUUGGAGAGAGAUUGCUGCUAGCUGAAGGAGGCAAAUGGAAGCCCUGGCCAUAAGGCUGUUAUUGCGGGCUUUAAAAGAGAAGGCACCUGAUGGAGGCAGGAAGGGCAGGAGGCAACUGUGCAUAAGCUCUUUUGUGGAGCUCUACUGCCACCAUGAGGAUGCGGUUUCAAAAUUCACAGCGCCACAGUCCUCCUUCCCAUGAUUCCUAGCAAUGGCGGAAGAUGGCAGCCGAUUACAGACAGCAGGAGCAGCUGUGAGUGCCUAGUUGGGUUUCCUUGACUUUUCCUCAGACCCCAACAGAAACUGUACUUCUUUCUCAUCGGAACCUAGAAAGUGCCUUACUGCCAUAGGACAGCGGCUAAUAGAUUAAUACUGCAAACUGAGCAGCAUGAAAUCCCGCCCCCCUGCUUCCUGUUCCUGGACCACAGGACACCUAAUGGGCACUUGUCUCUCAGUCAAUAGGACUAACACUUAGACUCUGCAAUAGCCCAUACCUCCAAACUGCCUAUAAAAAGAGGGGUUGGGAUAGGACGAGCUUGGUCAUUUAGGAAUCCUCUGGACACUCCACCUUCUUCAUAAUGUCUAGAAGCAUUAAGAUAGUGCUCUGUGCACCAGGGAAAAGAAGAAGGGGAAAGAGUCCAAACAUGGAUAACUAAUACCUCUCAGACCAAGCUCAGUGGUUCAGUGGCUAAGAGCACUUGACUGUUCUUCCAGGUCCUGAAUUCAAUUCCAUGGUGGCUCACAACCAUCUGUAAUGGGGAUCGGGUGUGUUCUGAUUGUGUCUGAAGACAGCUACAGUGUGAUGACAUACAUAAAAUAAAUGAGUAAAUCUAA
rnacentral:lncRNA from 1 species